UAUAUAUUCACCAAGAGCCUCUCAGCAUCAGGUACAAUUUCCAAGCAAUCUUGGCUACUUGUAAGUAUUACUGGAAGGCACUCAAAACAAACACUUCAUUUGCCUGAUCUUCAGCAAAGAAAAUAUCAGCCUGUGUGAGCUAACGUGGAUGUUAUUUUAGAAUUAGCUUCGCUGCCAUAGGGUACCUAAUACCAUUGUCCUCAUCUCAAAGUCUUCUGAACUGAAAUUUAGAAGGUGGGCAAGCUGCAAAGCUUGUGACUUGGAGUAUGGUUCUAGAAAAAUUCACAUACGAGUAGAUCUGGCCUGGUUAUGCAAAAGACUUUCCUUUAACCUGCUAGAUAGUGAGACCAUGGAGGAAGUUGAAAUAUUGGUUGGAACAGUCAGAGUUGGCUUCAUGGGUGUGCAACCCCAGGCAGUCACCAAGGCUUGGCACUGCAAAGGGCCCCACAAUUCGUUUAAUACUCUGCUGUCCCCUUCUUGAAAUUCCUAAUAAGUCUUGAACAAGGGGCUCAGCACUUGCAUUUUGCAUUGAGCCUCCCAAAUUAUGUAACAAUCCUGGGAAGAGUAGUGUGGCCUUAUCUCCACCCCCUUUCUAGACAUUUUUCUUUCUUGUCAUUUGCAUAUACAAUAUUUUCUGCUCACACUAAAUUAAAAAUUUACAUUUCAGCAGUUGGGUCUCUUUGAAGGGUAUGUCUCACCAGAAGGCUGAAAAAGAGGAUCAUAGAACAGUAAUGUGGAAAGAUAACAUCAGAGGGAAUGGAAAUUGGUUCAGGGCACAAGGGAAUUCUCUGCACAAUUUUUGCAACUUUUCUGUAAGUUUUAUCCCAAAAUAAGAAGGCCAGCUCAUCACAGAUUUACAAAAUAAAAUAAGUAGUUUUAAAAAGACAGUUGUAAAAUCAUAAAAAAACAAACCCCUUUCACAACUGAAAAUUAAAAAAGAACAAUAUUCUUCUAAAAAAUUACUGUAUCAAAGAAAAAUCUCAAUGGAAAUUAUAAACUUGACAAUAUAAUGCUAAUGUCAUUUUAGAACAAUUAAAAGAUUUACUUUAAAUGUUUUGAUAUAGCAAAAGUGAAAGUGUUAGUUGCUCAGUCAAGUUCGACUCUUUGAGACCCUAAGGACUGUAGCCUGCCAGACUCCUUUGUCCAUAGGAUUCUCCAGGCAAGAAUACUGGAGUGAGUUGCCAUUCCCUUCUCCAGAGGAUCUUCUUAACCCAGGGAUUGAACCCAGGUCUCCUGUACUGCAAGCAGAUUCUUUACCAUCUGAGCCACCAGGGCUGUUUAAAUAUCAAUAGUUUAUUGAACUACCAACAAUAGCAAAACUGAAAAUCCCUUUUAUAAUUGUCACAAAAACUAUAAAAGAGCUAUGACUCAAUUUUGUAAGAAUUUUGCAUUAAUGAUAUACAUGUGUGUGAAUGGACAAUAAAAUUUCAUGAAAAGAUACUAAAGAAGACUUGAAUAUAUGAAGAACCAUUUCUGGAUGGUAAGAUGUAAUUUUGUAAAAUAUCAGUCUUCCAAAUUAAGAUAUAAAAAUAAAUUCUCUUAAUAAUUGGCAAAAAAGAACGUAAAGAAAACUCUCUCUAGCCCCCUAAGUGGUGAGAGUGAAGGAAAGGAUCCUCGGGGGAAGGGCAAGUUCAUAGUCUAAGCCCUGAGCCCAGGGAUCGAGAGCCUGCCUAAGACUGGAGCUGAACUAGGUCAACAGCAGUUUAAUACACUUAGAAACACAUUUAGUUGAGUAUCUCUUGUGUGAGUGUGCUCUAAGAGGUGUUGCGGUCUACAGUAAGAAGAAUAUUCCCUGUCCUCGUCUCCAAGAAGAGUGUACUUGAGCAGGAGAGAGAAUUUGAGCAUGGCUACAGAGGUAAAGUGAAGCGAGAGUGCAGAGCUAAGACAGCAAACUCAGGCCAAAGUGAGGGAAGGACUUUUUCUUUUCUAAACAUAGGAAAGGGAAAAGGAGAUGGAAGCAAAAGUUUAGGGCAAAGGGCACACGGCACCAGUAAGAGCCCCUGUGAAUCGUGGGCUGCUGCUUACCACGGAUGCUGUUCAGUGUCUUAGAGGCAAUUUUCUCAUUUAUUCAGUCAAUAACUCUAAUAAAUUAGGCAACUUUAUGAUUCUUAUUUUAUAGAUG
rnacentral:lncRNA from 1 species